CUACGGGAGGCAGCAGUCGAGAAUCAUUCGCAAUGGGCGAAAGCCUGACGAUGCGACGCCGUGUGAACGAAGAAGGCCUUCGGGUUGUAAAGUUCUUUCGCCUGGGAACAAGAGAUUAAGUGAAAUACACUUAAGAUUUGAGGGUACUAGGUAAAGAAGCACCGGCUAACUCCGUGCCAGCAGCUGCGGUAAUACGGAGGGUGCAAGCAUUAAUCGGAUUUAUUGGGCGUAAAGGGCGUCUAGGCGGCUAACUAAGUCAUAUGUGAAAUUUCGAGGCUCAACCUCGAAGCUGCAUGUGAAACUGGAUAGCUAGAGGGUAGGCGGAGAAAAUAGAAUUCCACGUGUAGCGGUGAAAUGCGUAGAUAUGUGGAGGAAUACCGGUGGCGAAGGCGGUUUUCUAGCUUAUACCUGACGCUGAAGCGCGAGAGCAAGGGGAGCAAACAGGAUUAGAUACCCCCGUAGUC
rnacentral:rRNA from 1 species